rnacentral:tRNA from 1 species
GCCCGCAUGGUCUAGUGGUUAGGACACCACCCUUUCAAGGUGGUAACACGGGUUCGAUCCCCGUUGCGGGUA